rnacentral:rRNA from 1 species
UACGUAGGGGGCAAGCGUUGUCCGGAUUUAUUGGGCGUAAAGAGCGUGUAGGCGGCCAUGUAGGUCCGUUGUGAAAACUCGAGGCUCAACCUCGAGACGCCGAUGGAAACCAUGUGGCUAGAGUCCGGAAGAGGAGAGUGGAAUUCCUGGUGUAGCGGUGAAAUGCGCAGAUAUCAGGAAGAACACCCGUGGCGAAGGCGGCUCUCUGGGCAGAUACUGACACUGAGACGCGAAAGCGUGGGGAGCAAACAGG